GACGAACGCUGGCGGCGUGCUUAACACAUGCAAGUCGAACGGAAAGGCCCUGCUUUUGUGGGGUGCUCGAGUGGCGAACGGGUGAGUAACACGUGAGUAACCUGGCCUUUACUUUGGGAUAACUUCAGGAGACUGGGGCUAAUACCGGCUAGGAGCUCCUGCUGCAUGGUGGGGGUUGGAAAGUUUCGGCGGUGGGGGAUGGACUCGCGGCUUAUCAGCUUGUUGGUGGGGUAGUGGCUUACCAAGGCUUUGACGGGUAGCCGGCCUGAGAGGGUGACCGGCCACAUUGGGACUGAGAGACGGCCCAGACGCCUACGGGAGGCAGCAGUGGGGAAUAUUGCACAAUGGGCGGAAGCCUGAUGCAGCAACGCCGCGUGCGGGAUGACGGCCUUCGGGUUGUAAACCGCUUUCGCCUGUGACGAAGCGUGAGUGACGGUAAUGGGUAAAGAAGCACCGGCUAACUACGUG
rnacentral:rRNA from 1 species